rnacentral:rRNA from 1 species
UACGUAGGGUGCAGGCGUUACUCGGAAUUACUGGGCGUAAAGCGUGCGCAGGCGGUUUGCUAAGACAGGUGUGAAAUCCCCGGGCUUAACCUGGGAACUGCGCUUGUUACUGGCAAGCUUGAGUGUGGCAGAGGGGGGUGGAAUUCCACGUGUAGCAGUGAAAUGCGUAGAGAUGUGGAGGAACACCGAUGGCGAAGGCAGCCCCCUGGGUCAAGAUUGACGCUCAUGCACGAAAGCGUGGGGAGCAAACAGG